rnacentral:rRNA from 1 species
UACGGGGGGGACAAGCGUUGUUCGGAAUUACUGGGCGUAAAGGGCUCGUAGGCGGCCAACUAAGUCAGACGUGAAAUCCCUCGGCUUAACCGGGGAACUGCAUCUGAUACUGGAUGGCUUGAGUUCGGGAGAGGGAUGCGGAAUUCCAGGUGUAGCGGUGAAAUGCGUAGAUAUCUGGAGGAACACCGGUGGCGAAGGCGGCAUCCUGGACCGACACUGACGCUGAGGAGCGAAAGCCAGGGGAGCAAACGGG